UACAGAGGGGGCAAGCGUUGUUCGGAAUUACUGGGCGUAAAGGGCGCGUAGGCGGCCUUCUAAGUCGAACGUGAAAUCCCCGGGCUCAACCCGGGAACUGCGUCCGAUACUGGAAGGCUUGAAUCCGGGAGAGGGAUGCGGAAUUCCAGGUGUAGCGGUGAAAUGCGUAGAGAUCUGGAGGAACACCGGUGGCGAAGGCGGCAUCCUGGACCGACACUGACGCUGAGGCGCGAAAGCCAGGGGAGCAAACGGG
rnacentral:rRNA from 1 species